rnacentral:rRNA from 1 species
AGAUUGAACGCUGGCGGCAGGCCUAACACAUGCAAGUCGAGCGCGAAAGGUUUUCGGACUGAGUAAAGCGGCGGACGGGUGAGUAACGCGUGGGAAUCUGCCUGGUAGUGGGGGACAACGUUCCGAAAGGAACGCUAAUACCGCAUACGCCCUACGGGGGAAAGGGGGGAUCUUCGGACCUCUCGCUAUCAGAUGACGCCCGACGUCGGAUUAGCUAGUUGGUAGGGUAAAGCCUACAAGGCGACGAUCCGUAACUGGUCUGAGAGGAUGAUCAAGUCACACUGGACUGAGACACGGUCCAGACUCCGUACGGAGCAGCAGGUGGGAAUAUUAGGACUAAGUCGGGGGCAACCCGUGACUCCGAGCAUGCCGUGUG